UGGGGAAUAUUGCGCUAAUGCGCGAAAGCGUGACGCAGCGACACCGCGUGGGGGAUGAAGGCCCUCGGGUUGUAAACCCCUUUCGGCAGGGACGAAGCGAAAGUGACGGUACCUGCAGAAGAAGUCCCGGCUAACUACGUGCCAGCAGCCGCGGUAACACGUAGGGGACGAGCGUUGUCCGGAUUUAUUGGGCGUAAAGCGCGCGUAGGCGGUCGUGCAAGUCGGUUGUGAAAACCCGGGGCUCAACCCCGGGCCUGCGUCCGAUACUGCUCGACUCGAGGUAGGUAGGGGAGAUCGGAAUUCCUGGUGUAGCGGUGAAAUGCGCAGAUAUCAGGAGGAACACCGGUGGCGAAGGCGGAUCUCUGGGCCUUACCUGACGCUGAGGCGCGAAAGCUAGGGGAGCGAACAGG
rnacentral:rRNA from 1 species